UACGUAGGGACCAAGCGUUGUUCGGAUUUACUGGGCGUAAAGGGCGCGUAGGCGGCAAUUCAAGUCAUCUGUGAAAUCUCCGGGCUUAACUCGGAACGGUCAGGUGAAACUGCUUUGCUAGAGUGCGGAAGGGGCAAUCGGAAUUCUCGGUGUAGCGGUGAAAUGCGUAGAUAUCGAGAGGAACACCUGAGGUGAAGACGGGUUGCGGGGCCGACACUGACGCUGAAGCGCGAAAGCCAGGGGAGCAAACGGG
rnacentral:rRNA from 1 species